rnacentral:rRNA from 1 species
UACGGAGGGGGCUAGCGUUGUUCGGAAUCACUGGGCGUAAAGCGCACGUAGGCGGAUCUUUAAGUCAGGGGUGAAAUCCCGAGGCUCAACCUCGGAACUGCCUUUGAUACUGGGGAUCUCGAGUCCGGGAGAGGUGAGUGGAACUGCGAGUGUAGAGGUGAAAUUCGUAGAUAUUCGCAAGAACACCAGUGGCGAAGGCGGCUCACUGGCCCGGAACUGACGCUGAGGUGCGAAAGCGUGGGGAGCAAACAGG